rnacentral:tmRNA from 1 species
GGGGGUGACAUGGCUUCGACGGGGUGAGCGCAGUCACAAGUUGCAUGCCGAGUUUCCGUCGCGGAUUCUCGUAAAAAAAUCGGUGGCACUUUAAAUGUAAAUGCUGACAAUACUCAGUAUCGAAUGGCUGCCUAACAGCGCCAUUCCGUCCUCCUGGCGGUUUUCUUGCCAACUGCCUCUGAGGGCGCCAAAUCAAGGCAAGAUAGGGUAACGUCCCGGUCGGUGGCGUUAUCCGAAACCUGACCCGGCCUGGCCUGAAGACAGCCUCGUUGCCCGGCGACCCUUCAGGUGAGAUGAUAUAGGGCAACUAAGCAUGUAGAAGCUUGAUGGUUCGUCAUCUCGGACCCGGGUUCAAUUCCCGGCACCUCCACUU